rnacentral:rRNA from 1 species
CUACGUGCCAGCAGCCGCGGUAAUACGUAGGGCGCGAGCGUUGUCCGGAAUUAUUGGGCGUAAAGAGCUUGUAGGCGGUUGGUCGCGUCUGCUGUGAAAGGCCGGGGCUUAACUCCGGUUUUGCAGUGGGUACGGGCUAAYUAGAGUGCAGUAGGGGAGACUGGAAUUCCUGGUGUAGCGGUGGAAUGCACAGAUAUCAGGAGAAACACCGAUGGCGAAGGCAGGUCUCUGGGCUGUAACUGACGCUGAGAAGCGAAAGCAUGGGGAGCGAACAGGAUUAGAUACCCUGGUAGUCCAUGCCGUAAACGUUGGGCACUAGGUGUGGGGGACAUUCCACGUUUUCCGCGCCGUAGCUAACGCAUUAAGUGCCCCGCCUGGGGAGUACGGCCGCAAGGCUAAAACUCAAAGGAAUUGACGGGGGCCCGCACAAGCGGCGGAGCAUGCGGAUUAAUUCGAUGCAACGCGAAGAACCUUACCAAGGCUUGACAUGCAUUAGAUCGCGUCAGAGAU